rnacentral:rRNA from 1 species
AGUGAACGCUGGCGGUAGGCCUAACACAUGCAAGUCGAACGGCAGCACAGAGGAGCUUGCUCCUUGGGUGGCGAGUGGCGGACGGGUGAGGAAUACAUCGGAAUCUACUCUGUCGUGGGGGAUAACGUAGGGAAACUUACGCUAAUACCGCAUACGACCUACGGGUGAAAGCAGGGGAUCUUCGGACCUUGCGCGAUUGAAUGAGCCGAUGUCGGAUUAGCUAGUUGGCGGGGUAAAGGCCCACCAAGGCGACGAUCCGUAGCUGGUCUGGGAGGAGGAUCAGCCGCAAUGGACCUGAGACCCGGUGCAGACUCCGACUGGAGGCAGCAUUGGGGAAUAGUGGACAAUGGGCGCAAGCCUGAUCCAGCCAUACCGCGUGGGUGAAGAAGGCCUUCGGGUUGUAAAGCCCUUUUGUUGGGAAAGAGAUCCAUCUGGUUAAUACCCGGGUGGGAUGACGGUACCCAAAGAAUAAGCACCGGCUAACUUCGUGCCAGCCGCCGCCGCAG